rnacentral:rRNA from 1 species
AGAUGGCGACCGGCGCACGGGUGAGUAACACGUAUCCAACCUGCCGAUAACUCGGGGAUAGCCUUUCGAAAGAAAGGUUAAUACCCGAUGGCAUAAUUAGACCGCAUGGUCUUAUUAUUAAAGAAUUUCGGUUAUCGAUGGGGAUGCGUUCCAUUAGGCAGUUGGUGAGGUAACGGCUCACCAAACCUUCGAUGGAUAGGGGUUCUGAGAGGAAGGUCCCCCACAUUGGAACUGAGACACGGUCCAA